GGGGAUUUAGCUCAGUGGUAGAGCGCUUGCCUAGCAAGCGCAAGGCCCUGGGUUCGGUCCCAAGCUCCG
rfam:Rattus norvegicus chromosome X, whole genome shotgun sequence.